GGUAAAAGCUCAAAUUUGAAAUCUGGUACUUUCAGUGCCCGAGUUGUAAUUUGUAGAAUUUGUCUUUGAUUAGGUCCUUGUCUAUGUUCCUUGGAACAGGACGUCAUAGAGGGUGAGAAUCCCGUUUGGCGAGGAUACCUUUUCUCUGUAAGACUUUUUCGAAGAGUCGAGUUGUUUGGGAAUGCAGCUCAAAGUGGGUGGUAAAUUCCAUCUAAAGCUAAAUAUUGGCGAGAGACCGAUAGCGAACAAGUACAGUGAUGGAAAGAUGAAAAGAACUUUGAAAAGAGAGUGAAAAAGUACGUGAAAUUGUUGAAAGGGAAGGGCAUUUGAUCAGACAUGGUGUUUUUUGCAUGCACUCGCCUCUCGUGGGCUUGGGCCUCUCAAAAAUUUCACUGGGCCAACAUCAAUUCUGGCAGCAGGAUAAAUCAUUAAGAAUGUAGCUACUUCGGUAGUGUUAUAGCUUUUUGGAAUACUGUUAGCCGGGAUUGAGGACUGCGCUUCGGCAAGGAUGUUGGCAUAAUGGUUAAAUGCCGCCCGUCUU
rnacentral:rRNA from 1 species